CGGGGGGAGCAAGCGUUGUUCGGAUUUACUGGGCGUAAAGGGCGCGUAGGCGGCGCAACAAGUCACUUGUGAAAUCUCCGGGCUUAACUCGGAGCGGCCAAGUGAUACUGUCGUGCUAGAGUGCGGAAGGGGCAACUGGAAUUCUCGGUGUAGCGGUGAAAUGCGUAGAUAUCGAGAGGAACGCCUGCGGCGAAGGCGGGUUGCUGGGCCGACACUGACGCUGAGGCGCGAAAGCCAGGGGAGCGAACGGGAUUAGAUACCCCGGUAGUCCUGGCCUUAAACGAUGGAUGCUUGGUGUCCGGGGUUACAUAGUCCCCGGGUGCCGUCGCUAACGCCUUAAGCAUCCCGCCUGGGGAGUACGCACGCAAGUGUG
rnacentral:rRNA from 1 species